rnacentral:rRNA from 1 species
GACGAACGCUGGCGGCGUGCUUAAUACAUGCAAGUCGAACGCAGUGGCGAACGGGUGAGUAACGCGUAGGUAACUGCCUCAUUGCGGGGGAUAACUAUUGGAAACGAUAGCUAAUACCGCAUACUGUGAGAUGGACCUGCGUUGGAUUAGGUAGUUGGUGUGGUAAAGGCUCAACAAGGCGACGAUACAUUGCCGACCUGAGAGGGUGAUCGGCCACACUGGGACUGGGACACGGCCCAGACCCCGACGGGAGGCAGCAGUAGGGAAUCGUCGGCAAUGGGCGGAAGUCGGACCGAGCAACGGCGCGUGAGGGAGGAAGUUUUGCGGAGCGUAAAGCGCUGUUGUUAGGGAAGCGGUAACUAACGAGAAAGGGACGGCUAACUACGUGCCAGCAGCCGCGGUAAUAC